rnacentral:rRNA from 1 species
UACGUAGGGCGCAAGCGUUGUCCGGAAUUAUUGGGCGUAAAGAGCUCGUAGGCGGUCCGUUGCGUCUGCCGUGAAAACCCGAGGCUUAACCUCGGGCCUGCGGUGGAUACGGGCGGACUAGAGGUAGGUAGGGGAGAAUGGAAUUCCCGGUGUAGCGGUGAAAUGCGCAGAUAUCAGGAGGAACACCGGUGGCGAAGGCGGUUCUCUGGGCCUUACCUGACGCUGAGGAGCGAAAGCGUGGGGAGCAAACAGG